rnacentral:ncRNA from 1 species
UAGGUUUAAAAUUUUAUUAUAUAUAAAUUUUUUUAAAUAAUAAUUAUAUAGUAAUUAAAAUUAAUUAUUUAGAAGUUUAAGAAUUAGAAAUUUUUAUUAUUGUUAACAAAAUUUGUGCCAGCAGUUGCGGUUAUACAAAUAACAAAAUUUAAUUAAUUUAAUUAAAAUUAAAGGAAAUUGAUUUAUUAAAGAAAUAAAUUUGUUAGGUGGAAUUUUAAAUUUAUUUUUGAUAAGUUUUUAUAUUGAAGUUUAGAAAUUUUUAUUAUAAACUAGGAUUAGAUACCCUAUUAUAAGAAAUGUAAUAAAAAAAAUUAGAUUAGUAUUAGUUAAGUUCUUGAAAAUUAAAAAUUUUGGCGGUAUUUUAAUCUAUUCAGAGGAACCUGUUUAGUAAAUGAUAAUCCACGAUUUUAUUCACUUUUUGUUUUAGCUUAUAUAUCGUCGUAAAAAAUAUUUUAUUAGAAUUCAAAUAUUUAAAAUUUUUAAUAAAAAUAUAAUUCAGAUCAAGGUAUAGUUUAUAAAAAAGAUUAAAUGGGUUACAAUAAAUUUAUUUAAGGAUUUAUAAUUUUAAAUUAUAAUGAAUUAGGAUUUGAUAGUAAUUUUAAUAAUUAAUUAAGAUGAUUUAGUUCUAAAAUAUGUACAUAUCGCCCGUCGCUUUCAUUUAAUAUGAAAUAAGUCGUAACAAAGUAGGUUUACUGGAAGGUGAGUCUAGAAUAC